UGCAAGUCGAACGCUUCUUUUUCCNCCGGAGCUUGCUCCACCGGAAAAAGAGGAGUGGCGAACGGGUGAGUAACACGUGGGUAACCUGCCCAUCAGAAGGGGAUAACACUUGGAAACAGGUGCUAAUACCGUAUAACAAUCGAAACCGCAUGGUUUUGAUUUGAAAGGCGCUUUCGGGUGUCGCUGAUGGAUGGACCCGCGGUGCAUUAGCUAGUUGGUGAGGUAACGGCUCACCAAGGCGACGAUGCAUAGCCGACCUGAGAGGGUGAUCGGCCACAUUGGGACUGAGACACGGCCCAAACUCCUACGGGAGGCAGCAGUAGGGAAUCUUCGGCAAUGGACGAAAGUCUGACCGAGCAACGCCGCGUGAGUGAAGAAGGUUUUCGGAUCGUAAAACUCUGUUGUUAGAGAAGAACAAGGAUGAGAGUAACUGUUCAUCCCUUGACGGUAUCUAACCAGAAAGCCACGGCUAACUACG
rnacentral:rRNA from 1 species